UGAGUCUCACUUUCACGUGGUGGCCCGAAUGUGAGGUGCACUCAAAUCCUACCUCGGGAGUUAUCCUACGUGCCUCUCCAAUUGAGGUAAGCUCAAUAAUUGGGAACCGUGCCCCUCUAAUUAGGCUAGCCCACGGAACCCCCGUCACUACAGUGCCCACAAAUCCUACCUCGAGAGUUAUUCUACGCGCCUCUCCAAUCGAGGUAAGCUCAAUAAUUGGGAACCGUGCCCCUCUAAUUAGGCUGGCCCACAGAACCCCCGUCACUGCAGUGCCCACUUUAUAAUCCACCAACCAAUAAAAUCACAAUAGUAUGACAUGGCUCACUUAACACAUUCAAGGCAAAUCAAAGCAGUUCACAUAUUCUUAAAAUCAUGAAAAUAACCAGUCAUACCCACAUUUAUCAUAAGCCAUUUAAUGUAAAAUCAUGGAUAAACAACACAAUCAUAGUAUAGGUCUCCAAUUACUCUAUUUUUGAAAUCAUUAUUAAAUUUUNN
rnacentral:lncRNA from 1 species